GACGAACCGUGCAAACGUUGUUCGGAAUCACUGGGCUUAAAGGGCGCGUAGGCGGGCUCGCCAGUCAGGGGUGAAAUCCCACGGCUCAACCGUGGAAGUGCCUUUGAUACUGCGGGCCUCGAGGGAGGUAGGGGCGUGCGGAACUUCCGGUGGAGCGGUGAAAUGCGUAGAUAUCGGAAGGAACACCGGUGGCGAAAGCGGCGCGCUGGACCUCUUCUGACGCUGAGGCGCGAAAGCCAGGGGAGCGAACGGG
rnacentral:rRNA from 1 species